ACGAAUAAACCACUGGACGCGUAACGAGUGACGUUUUCGUCUUUACCCCGCUAGCACUUACCAAGGCUAAAUUAGCCAUGGUAAAUGUUGUCAGGUUGUCACUUUGUCAGUAUGACGCGAGCUCUCGAAGAGUAAAAAUAUCACGAAAAAUGGGUAAAUGCGCCGUACUUUAUUGCAAAAAUUAUUCCGGUCACACAAGAAAUGUUUCUUAUCACGCAUUUCCAGUGGAUCCAAAAAGAAGGAGAAAGUGGAUAGAGGCAGUCAGAAGACAAAAUACGUGGAUUCCAACUAAAAACCACUGCAUUUGUAGCAUUCAUUUUGCGGAAGAAUGCUACAAUGCCAAUUCUACGAAACAGAGAAAACUGCACAAAGAUUCUUUACCUACAUUGAAUUUGCCUAAAUUUGUUUUAUUUUCGGUAUGCAAUACCGAGGUGGAACCUUUUAGAUCUGUGUCAUCCCUCACGUUUAGUGAAAUACCGGGGUGGUUGGAACUUGAUUUGGUCCAUCCUGUCAUCAACUGUUUUUCAAUGGGACGACUUCUGAACAUCAGAGAUCUUGACUGUCAAGAUAAGUGAAUUAGGCCACUGAACUUUUCAAAACAAAACCAACACAGGUGAAAUAUCUGAGCAUCUCCCUUGACAACAAAUUGAACUGGGCGAGUCAUAUCGACAACAUGCAUAGUGCCUAGCAAACAUAGCGGCCAUGGGUUGUAUGAGAACCACUCUAUCGGCAUCACUUGACUUCUUUCUGAAUCUCAGACAUUUAGACCUCAUUAUUCAGGAGGAAGCACAAGCACCCACUCUAAGACUUAAAGGAAACGAUCUAUGAAAGCAAAACAAGGAGACAGGAUAUUCCGCGAUUCUGCACAAAACCCUAAAAGAAAUACCCCUCAUCAACAGGAUAGGUACCCUGUGUACACAUCUUCGACCAAAGAUAAUAUCCAGCUUACAGCGGAAACGCGAAAUUGCUCUGGAAUCAAUGAAGUUAGGAUAUACCGACGUCUUCAAAACCGAAAUAAGUACUUGACUUCUUUCUGAAUCUCAGACAUUUAGACCUCAUUAUUCAGGAGGAAGCACAAGCACCCACUCUAAGACUUACAGGAAACGAUCUAUGAAAUCAAAAC